CCCCUAGUAACUGCGAGUGAAGCGGGAAGAGCUCAAAUUUAAAAUCUGGCGGCUCCGCCGUCCGAGUUGUAACCUGGAGAAGCGUUUUCCGUGCCGGACCGCAUACAAGUCCUCUGGAACGGGGCGUCAUAGAGGGUGAGAAUCCCGUCUUUGAUGCGGACUGCCGGUGCUCUGUGAUGCGCUCUCGAAGAGUCGAGUUGUUUGGGAAUGCAGCUCAAAAUGGGUGGUGAAUUCCAUCUAAAGCUAAAUAUUGGCGAGAGACCGAUAGCGAACAAGUACCGUGAGGGAAAGAUGAAAAGCACUUUGGAAAGAGAGUAAAACAGUACGUGAAAUUGUUGAAAGGGAAACGCUUGAAGUCAGUCGCGUCUUCCGGAACUCAGCCUUGCUUCUGCUUGGUGCACUUUCCGGUUUGACGGGCCAGCAUCAGUUUUGGCGGGCGGACAAAGGCAAGGGGAAGGUGGCAGCUCCGGCUGUGUUAUAGCCCCUUGUUGUACACGCUCUCUGGGACUGAGGAAUCCGGUGCUUGUCGCCUGGGAUGCUGGCGUAAUGGCUUUAAACGACCCGUCUUGAAACACGGACCAAGGAGUGCUACAUGCUCGCGAGUGUUUGGGUGGAAAACCCGAGCGCGGAAUGAAAGUGAAAGUCGAGACCCUUUGCAGGGGCACCGACGCCCGAGCCUGACGUUUUCUGACGGCCUUGCGGUAGAGCGAGUAUGUUGCGACCCGAAAGAUGGUGAACUAUUCCUGAGGAGGGCGAAGCCAGAGGAAACUCUGGUGGAGGCUCGUAGCGGUUCUGACGUGCAAAUCGAUCGCAGGACUUGGG
rnacentral:rRNA from 1 species